UGUUGGAUUAGCUGAAGCAUUUUCUGUGGUUUCCAACUGGGCCAUGGGAUGUCCUUUUUCUGUAAAGAUGUUGCUACUAACCCUUCAGAGUAUGUACUCUGGACUUCUUCCAGAACAGGGGAUCAGGAAUGCAAAAAUCAGAGUGAUGGCCAACCCAUGAUCCUUCUGUAGACUCUAAGAGAAAACCUGGAGCUUAUGCAUGGACUUCUUGCACGGGACAUGUCAGCACAAGAAGACCUC